rnacentral:lncRNA from 1 species
CUGGAGGCUUGGAAACGCUUCCUCUCUUCUUCUGUUCUUCACGCCCCAUGCCCCUGCUAGCGUAUUACUGUUCUGUGACUUCCCUGUGACCUCUGCAGAACUCCUCAUCCUGCGUUUGGUCUCCAGGUGUCCCCUUUCUGCCGUGUUCCUAACAUUUUGAUUCCUGUCUUGAAAAAAGCACCUGCUGCACCGUAAGCCCAGGGAUGUGGCAGCUGCAGUGGGCUUGGCUUUGUGAGGAACUGAGUGUGUCCACGUUGGGGGAACAUCAUACUUGAUACACACGUUUUUAUUUGCACAAAGAAAAUGCUAUUUUUGGAGCCAGAAUUUUCAUGUCUGAUUUAUGGUGAUUUUCUUAAGAACCAGAACUGCUGGCAGAAAGGGGGCACCCACACGCUUAGAUAGCCGAUGUCUUAUUAGAGGGCAGUUUGUGGUUCCUGAUUUGGAAAUUAACAUUCUCCAAACAUUCCAGUCCAAUGAAAGUUUUAUCCGCUUUCCCAUAUAAAAAUUCUUCCCAUGAGAGUGACUUGAUUCUCACAAUCCCGUUGGAGUCGUGUGUGAGUCCUACAGGGUGAGAUUCAGCAUUGCCAUCUCCAAUGCAGUGGCACAGUCAUUGCUCACUACAGCCUCGACUCCUGGGCUCUAGCAAUCCUCCCACUUCCUGAGUAGCUGGGAUGACAGGUGCGUGCCACCAUGCCAGUAAUUUUUUUAUUUUGUAGAGAUGGGGUCCUGAACGCAUGGCCUCAAGUGAUGCUCCUGCCUCAGCCUCUUUUAUUAUUUGUUUUUAGACGAAGUUUUACUCUGUUCCCCAGGCUGGAGUGCAGUGGCACAAUCUCAGCUCACUGCAACGCCUCCCAGGUUCAAGUGAUUCUCCUGCCUCAGUCUCCCGAGUAGCUUUGACUAUAGGCGUGCACCACCACGCCUGGCUAAUUUUUGUGUUUUUAGUAGAGAUGGGGUUUCACCAUGUGGGCCAGGCUGGUCUUGAACUCGACCUCCCGUGAUCUGCUCACCUCAGCCUCCCAAAGCCUCAGCCUCUUACAGUGUUGGGAUUACAGGCGUGAGACACUGUGACCCGGGACGAUUUUCAAUCACAGUUUUUUGUUACGAGUGGAAAAUGCGUAUUUAUAAGAAUGAAGUAGUACAGACAUGAAUGUGUAGAAAUCUCUAUAAUCCUGCCAUCCAAGGAUGGCACCUGUUAAUGUGUAUAUCAGGGAUGUCCAAUCUUUUGGCCUCCCUGUGCCACACUGGAAGAAGAAGAAUCGCCUUGGGCCACGCAUAAAAUACACUAACACUAGCAAUACCUGAUGAGCUAAAAGAAAAAAAAUCACAAAAAAACCUCGUACUGUUUGAAGAAAGUUUACAGAUUUGCGUUGGGCCGCAAGUUGGACAAGACUGCUAUAUGUAUAUUCUAGGUUUUCCCCUAUAGGUAUACUUAUGUGAAAAUGAUUAUUGUGAUAAAUUUUGUUUUGAGAUGAA